UGAAGUCCCAGGGCAAACUACUGCACUGAAUUCUGGAGAGAGGAAUUCAGAGAGAAAUGGCUGAGGUCUGCUUACCUAGAACGAGGCCACUGUAGCAAUAAAGUGGACCUAGCUUCCACGAAAAUAAUGGCAACAAUGAUGGUCAAGAAAGAAUCUGAAUGAAUUAAUAACAAGUAUAAAAGGAAGCAAUUUCAAGAAUCUUUUGGCUACUUUGUUAAGCUCUUUAACACAUCAUAUCCUUCAAUCCUAUUAGAUACAUUUUAAAAGGAAACUGAGACUCAAAGAAAUGUAAGAGAUGUUCUCAACGUCACAGAAAGAGCUCUUCAAAACAAACUUGUCCACAACACUGAUUAUUGGAUUUUUCACAGCCAGUGUGUGAGGAUUGCCACUGUGAAGAUUAUGAACUUUCUUCAUGAGGACAUUUCAAAUAUUGUGUUUUUCCCCCAGGAAAUUUGAGAACAGUUUAAGUUCCUGAUAUAAAAAACACCAAAAUCAAUUGCUUUUGCACUGCUAUUUUGCAUACGA